AUUGAACGCUGGCGGAAUGCUUUACACAUGCAAGUCGAACGGCAGCACGGGAGCUUGCUCCUGGUGGCGAGUGGCGAACGGGUGAGUAAUGCAUCGGAACGUACCUAUUAGUGGGGGAUAACUAUCCGAAAGGAUAGCUAAUACCGCAUACGUCCUGAGGGAGAAAGCGGGGGAUCGCAAGACCUCGCGCUAAUAGAGCGGCCGAUGUUGGGUUAGCUAGUUGGUGGGGUAAAGGCCUACCAAGGCGACGAUCCAUAGCUGGUCUGAGAGGACGAUCAGCCACACUGGGACUGAGACACGGCCCAGACUCCUACGGGAGGCAGCAGUGGGGAAUUUUGGACAAUGGGGGCAACCCUGAUUCAGCCAUUCCGCGUGAGUGAAGAAGGCCUUCGGGUUGUAAAGCUCUUUCGGCAGGAACGAAACGGUGGCUACUAAUACUAGCUACUAAUGACGGUACCUGAAGAAGAAGCACCGGCUAACUACGUGCCAGCCGCCGCCGUAA
rnacentral:rRNA from 1 species